ACUGGGGUUGUAGCUCAGUGGUAGAGUGCUUGCCUCACAUGUGGAAGGCACUGGGUUCGAUCCUCAGCACAGUA
rnacentral:tRNA from 1 species